rnacentral:rRNA from 1 species
UACGAGGGGUGCUAGCGUUGUCCGGAAUCAUUGGGCGUAAAGGGUCCGUAGGCGGUUUAACAAGUCAAUUGUUAAAGACAUCGGCUUAACCGAUGGAAUGCAGUUGAAACUGUUAGAAUAGAGUUUAGGAGAGGAAAGUGGAAUUUCUGGUGUAGCGGUGACAUGCGUAGAUAUCAGAAGGAACACCAAUGGCGAAGGCAACUUUCUGGCCUAAAACUGACGCUGAGGGACGAAAGCGUGGGGAGCGAACAGG